rnacentral:rRNA from 1 species
AUUGAACGCUGGCGGCAGGCCUAAGACAUGCAAGUCGAACGAGUGGCGGACGGGUGAGUAAUGUCUGGGAAACUGGCUGAUGGAGGGGGAUAACUACUGGAAACGGUAGCUAAUACCGCAUACCAUCAGAUGUGCCCAGAUGGGAUUAGCUAGUUGGUGGGGUAACGUCUCACCAAGGCGACGAUCACGAGCUGGUCUGAGAGGAUGACCAGCCACAUUGGAACUGAGACACGGUCCAGACUCCUACGGGAGGCAGCAGGGGGGAAUAUUGCACUAUGGGCGCAAACCUGAUGCAUCCAUGCCGCGUGGAUGAAGAAGGCCUUCGGUUUGUAAAGUACUUUCAGCGGGGAGGCGUUACCCGUAGAAGCAGCACCGGCUACUGCCGUGCCAGCAGCCGCGGUAAUAC